rnacentral:rRNA from 1 species
AUUGAACGCUGGCGGCAUGCCUUACACAUGCAAGUCGAACGGUAACAGGUCUUCGGAUGCUGACGAGUGGCGAACGGGUGAGUAAUACACCGGAACGUGCCUAGUAGUGGGGGAUAACUACUCGAAAGAGUGGCUAAUACCGCAUGAGAUCUACGGAUGAAAGCAGGGGAUCGCAAGACCUUGUGCUACUAGAGCGGCCGAUGGCAGAUUAGGUAGUUGGUGGGAUAAAAGCUUACCAAGCCGAAGAUCUGUAGCUGGUCUGAGAGGACGAUCAACCACACUGGGACUGAGACACGGCCCAGACGCCUACGGGAGGCAGCAGUGGGGAAUUUUUGACAAUGGGCGCAAGCCUGAUCCAGCAAUGCCGCGUGCAGGAUGAAGGCCUUCGGGUUGUAAACUGCUUUUGUACGGAACGAAAAGCCCUGGGUUAAUACCCUGGGGUCAUGACGGUACCGUAAGAAUAAGCACCGGCUAACUACGUGCCAGCCGCCGCCGUAAAAC